rnacentral:rRNA from 1 species
UUUAACAAAACAUGUCCUUUUGAGUGGAAUUUGAGGUCGGACCUGCCCACUGACAUUUGUUGAAGGGCCGCGGUAUCUUGACCGUGCAAAGGUAGCAUAAUCAUUAGUCUUUUAAUUGAAGGCUGGAAUGAAUGGUUUGACGAAAUAUUAACUGUCUCUAUAUAAUAAAGUGGAAUUUAACUUUUGAGUCAAAAGGCUCAAAUAAGUAUAAAAGACGAGAAGACCCUAUAGAUCUUUAUAUGAUUAUUGUAAUUAUUUAUUUAGUUGUAUUGAUUAUAGUUAUAUUAUUGUAUUUUGUUGGGGUGACACAAAGAUAAAAAUAACUCUUUGUAAUGGGAACAUUGAUUUAUGAUUAAUUGAUCCGCUAAUAGCGAUUAUAAGAUAAAGUUACCUUAGGGAUAACAGCGUAAUUUUUUUUGAGAGUUCUUAUCGACAAAAAAGAUUGCGACCUCGA